CGGAAAUCACAGUCCACAGCAAUGCAAAGCUGGUACGAGUUCGGCUACGACGGAUUUCCGUCUGGCGAGCAACGUCGCCGCUUCUAUCGCCAGCGCGACGACCCAUGCGACAGCGAGGAGGAGCGCGACUACGACGACAAAACAAAUGACCGUCCCAUCUUCUACUACCCGCUCCGGGCGAGCGAGGAAGGAAUCCAGUCUUCCUCAGUUUCUUUGUCACCGUCGACCGCAUCUGGCGAGGAUGAUAGAGGUGGGUAUGCGACGGAUGACGAAGUGCCCCGGACGCGACCAGGUAGUGCUUACUCCUCUCGCCGCUCAAGGCGCGCUCGGCGGGUGUCGCACAAGGGGUCGUCGCUAGACUGCUUGCUGCACACCACGUUGUACGAGGACAUGCCCGCGUGGUACGGAUCCAGCAGCGUCACUCUAACUUCCCCCGGCUUGCCACACGGGGUGUACACUCUCCAGCACGGCGGCGCCCCGUGCGUUUCCCCCUUCGCUGUAUCGAACCAGUUCAGCUUGUGGCGUUGGUGCUUGCUGCCAGCGACAGUCGCCUCGACGCCGCAGAACGAGGCUUCCGGCAACAUCCACUGUGUGCGCCUCGUAGAUGAUCCAUCAUUGCUGUCGCGCUUGCAGUGGAGCGCCCUUCACCCGGCGUUGCGUCUUGGCCACACCUCGACGCUGCAGGCGCCUCCUCGAAUCGGACAUUGUGCCGUACCCUUGACGUGCCUUGACGCGCCAGUGCUGCAGUACUUUCUCUCUGACCACAGCCAAGGCUCUCACGAGACAGAGGUAACUCGCCUUGCUACUACAGCAGGUUGCUGCAGCAAAAAGGCUCUUGAUAGCAUACCAGUACUCCUCGCAGACAGCGACGUGGAUCUUAACGUGUCUCUCGUCGUCGGCGGGGCGUCGCAUCUGGUGGAUAUGUCCAAUAGCAGUGGAGCGGGCAGUCUUCACGGCAGCAAUGGUGUUCGCGGGCUUUUGCCAGAGGUCGACAGCAUCGCUUUCAGAGGACCAAACCUUGACCGUGUGGCGAUUGAUGGAUCGCACAUUCUUUCCCACCCCGCGCUGUGCCUUACCCUGCUCGCCCACUCCGCUGCUCAGCCACGCCAGCAUACCGUUUACUUUUCACUCGAUGGCCCGUCCGUGUCGGCUCUGUCUCCCAGGGCGUUCGCCACGCUGACGCCGUGGCCUGACGCCAAUGGUGAGCAGUUCGCCCUCAGUUCCUUUGCGUACAUUGGCGGCACUGACAACGGCCGCGAUCCGCUCUCCUACCUUGAGGUGGAGCUGUUCCAGCUGAACCUCGACACAUGGGUGUGGAGUAGCAAUCCUGUUUCCACGUACGGCGCAAAGCCGCCUCCACGCUUCGGACACUCCGUCACGAUGGUGAAAGAAGAUGCGUGCCUGCUGAUGCUUGGCGGCGUUGGGGCUGGUCGCACGUACCUGAACGAUCUUCACGUACUGGAUCUGAGAACCCGGGUCUGGCGAGAGGUGUUCAUCCCGCUCGGCGUGGACAUGCCGCGUCGCGCCUUCUUCACGGCAGCGGUGCUGACGUUGCCCGACACCCCUCUGCGAGACAGAAGCAGUGGCGCGCACGCCGCUCUUGCCGACUUCGAUGACAACACGUUUGCGCGACGUGCGGCAGCGACUUUAGCACGCCAAUUAACCCCCUUUUCACGGUCGGGGCAGGGUACUUCGCCGCCGCCACCUGUAGCGCAGCAAGGCUCUAGCAUCGAGGACGAAGGCGAGUGUGACGAUGGCGUUUGGCCUGCGAGGGUCACGGCUGCACGGUCCAGAGGUGCACUGGUAGUUUUGGGUGGUGAGUGCGAGGGGAAGCCGGUGACCUCUGCAUGGGCAUGCAUCCUGCGCAACGGCAGCUGGCGUCACCUUGCUUUCCCUCUCCGCACGCAGCCUCACUUCUCGCAUGUGGCGCGCUCCGCUAUGCUGACCGAGGCGGACGCGGAGCGCGCCAGCAGCACCCUGUCACGAACCGACUUCCGCACAGCGAUGCAGGCGCUGAUGGAGCGGGUGCCGCACCCUAGCGCGCCCACCGCUUUUGAUUCUCUCGGCCACUCAAAUAUGACGCACGAACCGUAUAUGGCCGUGUGCCAUGGUUCUCUAGCGCAGGCGGUACUGCUCCCUUCAGACGCCGGAGCUGCCGAGCGCCUUGUGCUGAAUGGAGGCUCGCAGGGGCUUCCAGUGAGCGUGGUGUCGGAGAUGAGCUUCAUGGGGACAAGUUUGAGGGACGAUGCCUCACUGUGGCUACUGACGUCACGGCAGCAAAGCUCGCUGCCGUCUGCGCUCUGCAAACGCGUCCAGCAUUUGCACAUCCUCUUCUUUCGCAAGAACGCGGGGCUCUCGCGUGCGGCGCAAUCGAUGCUGCAGCCCGACAAGGAUAAGGCAGCACUGCCCGGCCCUCUCUCUGCCGAAGACGUGCGCUUCAAUCACUUUUUGAGCAAUUGUGUACUGGACGGGCAGCUGACGGAGUGGACGCGACUGGCCCGCAAGCGCCUGCGUGAGGAGUCGUGAAUGAGCGGGCGCGCCGAGACGAAACGCCUGCGCGUGUGCACGCGGGGAUGCGGUGGCGACUGUCUUGCGCUCUUCCUCGAUUUGUUCAUGACAGACGCGCCUCGCAUCGUUUUCCGGUUUUACUGCGGCAGCACGUCGUAAAGAGAGGAAGAAACACACAACACAGUAAAGAAGCACAUGCAGGGACGGUGUAGGACUCCAAAGCAGCACAAGGGGAGGGGAGAGAAGUGCCCGCCCUCUCUCUUUCCUUGGCGACAUCAGCAAAAGUGUAGCACACGUGGCAUCCACCCCUUCCCCGUCGCCAGGCUCUCUCCCUCUCUUGGCAGUGUACACCUCUCCUCACCUCAUGUUGGUGGAAAAGGCUGUAUCCCCUGCACGCAGCUCGCCGCAUGUCUUCUCUUAGUGAGCGCACGGCGCUGCUUUGCGGUGCUGUAUCCGUGUCCCUUCACUUCCUCCUCUUUUUUCCCCCUGUCCAUGGUGCCACGCCAG
rnacentral:misc_RNA from 1 species